ensembl:lncRNA
UGUAUUACUAAUCCUCAAAAGUGCAGCCAAUGACCUCUUCUUUAACGUUAACAUUACAGGUCUCAUCAGCAUCUGAUUCUUUAGAGCACACAGGCAUGCCUGAGUUGAAGUCUUCUCCAGUAUCCUCAACCUCUGAUCAAAGCAACUUCACACAACAAACGGCACAGAGCUCAUCCGAAUCUCAGUCCUCUGAGCAGAGUGACAUUCCUGACCUGAGGAGUGCCUCUAGUUCGUCGUCAUCAGAGCAAAGCAACUCUUCAAGCCAAGAGUCCCAGAGUUCCUCAGAGUCCGACUCAUCCAAUCAAAGUGACACAUCAGAGCAGACGACUUCAGAAUCCUCAGAGUCAGAUUCAUCUGACUCCAGUGACAUGGUAAGUCAGGUCUCUAGUUCAGACACCAUAACUGUCAGAUCAUUUUGCUCUUAAGGUACCUUGAGGCGACAACUUUCUCAUCUUUUCACCUCUCUUCCCAUUCAGACAUCAGAUGAGAGUCAAAGUGAAUCCCUGAAAGACACGGUAGGCUAUGAUUAGUUUUUACCAUGAUUAGACUUAUGUAAAAUUUGCCUGCCAGUUUAGCUACAUUAUUUUAUAUAUAAUUUUAUAAUCUCAAGAUUUCUCUUUCCAUCACAUAAUUGAAAUGACUGAAUCAUUGCCGUUACUUUCUUCCAUUUAGACAUCAGAGGAGAGUAACUCAUUAGAAGACAAGGUACAUUUAUACAAAUUAAGAUGAGAUUGUGUCAUAUAUUGAUGAAGUACACAGAGAUGUGAUGGUCUGAAAACGUUGUACUUGUUAUUUUCAGUUUAAUUUAGUGGAGAAUGGAGUCACCAGGGAUGACAGUAGAGGAAGCAAAGAAAACCUCCGAAGGGUAUGUUGAAAGUGCCUCAGAGUAACCCAUUGAGUUUAAAAUAAGUGUAAUCAAAUAGUAAAUCAGCUUGUUUGCCUUGUGAACUCUCAGUGAUGCACACUUGUCCUCUACCAGUUCUUCAGAGUUUACGCCGUCAAAGCAACCGCUCCGGAUUCCGUCAGUGAUUCACAGCAAUCGUUCGUGGAGAGCAAAGAGGACAACAGCAUCUCCAACGAAAUCCCAGAAGCCACCGGUGGACCAGGCCAAUCCUUGGAGCGCGUGAGCAGCGAGGACAGCAGGGCCAGCGUCGACCUUGGAAACAGCACAGAGAACAGCAUUAGCAACGAGAGCACCGAGAACAACAGCACCGAGAGCACGGAGAGCAACGAGGACAGUGAGAUCGCAGUCAGCCACGAGAGCAAUGACAGCAAGUCUGCAGAGUGUCUCCCAGGAUCUGGCCAAAACUGUGACAGCGACAGUGACAGUGACGAGUCGAACAUGAGAGACAUAGGCGAUGAUGGUGAUCAUGAUCCGUUCGAUGGCUUCUUCGUGCCCUUUGACACACCAGGGGAGUUGCUGCUGCGAAGAUGACACAUUCUUUGUAGCCAUAUCUACAGUGUUGCACUUUAAUUUAAUUUAAAACAGCAAUAUAUUUGUCUUCCUCGGCCCAUGUGUCGAAAACUGUGUUAUCUGUCUCAGCUGACUGUUGAUAGAUCAUUGUACUGUAUUUAUCAUUUUUGUUACAUUUCAUUAUUUGUAUUACUAUAAUAUGUGCCAUUUAUCAACUGAAUGUGUUUUAUAUGAAAUAGUAUUCUACAUAUUUAACAAAUUAUUUCAAUAUUAUUAUUAACAAUAAUUUGCACUGCAUUUUAUGCUUUUUGCGGUAACAAAGUAAUUUUGUUCAAAGCAGAAACACUACAUUAUUUUAAAGUAUGGCUGAUGGUUCUGGCCUGUUUUAAUCAUCUGUUGACAGAGUAAUUAUAGAAUAAAUGGAGUAGAAGUUACUUUUUGAUUUGCA